GUAAGAAAAAAAGAGAGAGAGAGAGAGAGGAGGGGAAUAAGGUCCAGAUGAGGGAUGUUAUUAAUCCACUUAUUCCCUCUCCACUCUCUCACUCUGUCCUCUGCUAUCUUU